rnacentral:lncRNA from 1 species
UACACGUAACCGUGGCCUGUGUUGCUACAUUCACAACCCAGUUGUCGACAAGCAAGUGACAAUUUGCUUCUACCAAUGACUUCAGAUCUCAAACCUAUUUCAGGCAAGGCCAGCAAUGACAUCAUGUUCAAAACAGUUUAGCCAGACACACCUGUUCAGACCCCUCUACUACAUAUAACCUAGAGGUACAUUUUUUCUUUACAUUCUUUCUAUACGAUUGGCAUUAGGCUUAUCAAGUCCAAUAAGAUAUUUCACAAAACUUAUACUAACUUAUUCCUAAUUAUAGUGGACACAAUUAACUUACUUUGGCAACUGUUCUGAAGAGAAUGACUUCUUCAGGAUGACAUCAAUUACCAGCGAUGAUACUAUCAGUAAGCUACUUCUGCUAUCUACUAAAUAUUACUGCUACACGUAAUAUUGACAAUUCGUUUGUGUGCAGGCCUGUGAUAACCACUUGGAUCGGAUAAAGGACUGGGACAUCAACAAUUUGCCCAGAAACCAAUAAGAUAUCAUUGUAAAACAAUGAUUGGCAUUAGGCUUAUCAAGUUCAAUACAAUAUUUCACAAAACUUAUACCAACUUAUUCCUGAUUAUAGUGAACACAAUUAACUUACUUUGGCAACUGUUCUGAAGAGGCUGACAUCAACUACCAGUGAUGACACUAUCAGUAAGAUGCUUCUGCUAUCUACUAAAUAUUACUUACUUUGGCAAUACUGUUCUGAAAAGGAUAACAUCAACUACUAGUGAUGACACUAUCAGUAAGCUGCUUCUGCUAUCUACUGAAUAUUAGUACUUAAUAUAGUAUUGACAAUUCUUUUGUGUGCAGGCCUGUGAUAACCAUUUAGAUCGACCGGAUAAAGGACUUGGACAUCAACAAUUUGCCCAAAAACCAAUAAGAUAUCAUUGUAAUGCUUAAUUAUAUAUGUAUUAGUUUCCCUUUGAAUGGUGCUCUAUUAUGAUGAUUCUUUCCUCUAUGACUCUUAAAUAAGCAACGUAUUGCCCUUUUGUUAUGCAAAAGUAUGGCAUGUUAAGCAGACGGGAACAACAUGUGGGCUAUGUACACCAUUACCUUAAACGAAGCAAAAUUAUCUUGUGCUUAUCAAAGUUUGAAACUAAUUCUGUGCUUACCAAGAAUGUAUGAAUAACACAUUAUACUCA